rnacentral:rRNA from 1 species
CAGCAGCCGCCGCGGGAAUACGUAGGUGGCAAGCGUUGUCCGGAAUUAUUGGGCGUAAAGGGCUCGCAGGCGGUUUCUUAAGCCUGAUGUGAAAGCCCCCGGCUCAACCGGGGAGGGUCAUUGGAAACUGGGAAACUUGAGUGCAGAAGAGGAGAGUGGAAUUCCACGUGUAGCGGUGAAAUGCGUAGAGAUGUGGAGGAACACCAGUGGCGAAGGCGACUCUCUGGUCUGUAACUGACGCUGAGGAGCGAAAGCGUGGGGAGCGAACAGGAUUAGAUACCCCAGUAGUCCCUGUCUCUUAUAC